AUUAAAGUUUUAUUCUUGCUUAAUAAUUUAUUAUAAAAUAGGGGUAUAUGCAAAAAUUUAUUAUAAUAAUUUCUAAAAGAUUUAUUUAAUAUAAUUGCAGUAUUUAAUAUUAUAAAUUUAAGUAAUUUUGAUUUAGUUAUUAUUAUUAAAUGCUGAUUAAUUGUGUGCCAGCAAUCGCGGUUAUACAUAAGGUAUUAGUAAAUAUAAUUAGUUUAUUAGUUAUUAUGUAGAAAUGAUUUAAUGGAAUUAAUUUUAGGUGAAAUUUAAUUAUUUUAUUUAGUUAAUUAUUAAUAUAAGAGGCUAAAAAAUCUUAUAAUAUAAACUAGGAUUAGAUACCCUAUUAUUUUUGAUUUAAAAUUAUUAUAAAACUUAAGUAGUAUUAGUUAUGGUCUUGAAACUUAAAGAAUUUGGCGGUAUUUUAGUCUAUUUAGAGGAAUCUGUUCCAUUAUCGAUAAUCCACGUUGGACCUUACUUAAAUUUAAAAAUUUGUAUACCGCCGUUUAUUGAAAAUCUUAUUAGGGAAAAUUUUCUUUAUUUAAAAUAUUAAAAUAUUUCAGGUCAAGGUGCAGUUAUAAUUAAGUGGAAAUGGAUUACAAUAUUUUUAUAAACGGAAUAUUAUUUGAAAAAAAUUAUAUGAAGGUGGAUUUAAUAGUAAUAUUAAAAAGAUUAUUAAGGUGAUUUAAGCUCUAAAAUGUGUACACAUCGCCCGUCACUCUCGUUAAUUAAGGUGAGAUAAGUCGUAACAAAGUAGGUGUACCGGAAGGUGUAGCUAGAUUGAU
rnacentral:ncRNA from 1 species